CAGUCGCCGCGGUAAUACAGAGGGUGCGAGCGUUAAUCGGAUUUACUGGGCGUAAAGCGUGUGUAGGCGGCUUCUUAAGUCGGAUGUGAAAUCCCUGAGCUUAACUUAGGAAUUGCAUUCGAUACUGGGAAGCUAGAGUAUGGGAGAGGAUGGUAGAAUUCCAGGUGUAGCGGUGAAAUGCGUAGAGAUCUGGAGGAAUACCGAUGGCGAAGGCAGCCAUCUGGCCUAAUACUGACGCUGAGGUACGAAAGCAUGGGGAGCAAACAGGAUUAGAUACCCCAGUAGUCCCUGUCUCUUAUAC
rnacentral:rRNA from 1 species